UGACAGGCCUUGCUUCUCCUCUCUGCAGCUGCUUCGUGUGGCUUUGCUCCCGGAGCUCUUGAGUUGGGCCAUCCGAGGUCACCUCUGGGCGCCUCCUGAGGCCUAUUUCCUCUUUGGAACAAGGUGGCGAAAAGCUCCAGCCGGAAUUAUGAGUAGCAGCAAAGCCAUCUAUAUCCGGACUCCAACAGGUGGGAAAAUCAAGCCUCUAUCAAGAAAGCACCAAGCUAGAAAAUUUCGGAAAUUACGCUUGCGGGCAAAAAGGGCUGGAGCCCAGGCUUCUGAUUCAGCAGCGCUUCCAAGCAACCCUGCGGCUCCCUCAGGUGGCCGGAAGGUAUGCCUUCAACCUCUGGGCUUCUAUCUGAAAAAACCCAAAAACUUUUCCAGUCAAUUUUGUGCCCUGAUAGAGACCCUGCUGAAAGGACAGUGGCCUGAUCUAUUGGGACUAAUGGACAUAGCCUGGGACUGACCAAAGACUGCCAGGAGGAAAAAGUUAAGCUGAUGUAGUAAUUCCCAAUAACAGGCCCUGUCCUAGUGUCAUUAUUUAGUAUCUAUAGUUACAUUAACUCUAAUUAUUUCAUUAUAUAUUAAAUGUCAUGAUAAACUCUU